rnacentral:rRNA from 1 species
GACGUAGGGUCCAAGCGUUGUCCGGAUUUACUGGGCGUAAAGGGCGCGUAGGCGGCGUGACAAGUCACUUGUGAAAUCUCUGGGCUUAACCCAGAACGGCCAAGUGAAACUGUUGUGCUAGAGUGCAGAAGGGGCAAUCGGAAUUCUCGGUGUAGCGGUGAAAUGCGUAGAUAUCGAGAGGAACACCAGAGGUGAAGACGGGUUGCUGGGCUGACACUGACGCUGAGACGCGAAAGCGUGGGGAGCAAACAGG